rnacentral:rRNA from 1 species
AAAUGAAUUGACGGGGACUUGCACAAGCGGUGGAUCAUGUGGCUUAAUUCGUAACUAAACGAAGAACCUUACCAGGACUAGAAAUCUAAUUGAAUACUUAGGGAAACUUAGGUAGCCUUCGGGCAAUUAGACAGGUGAUGCAUGGCCGUCGUCAGUUCGUGGCUUGAGCUGUUCCCUUAAGUGGGGUAACGAACGCAACCCUCGUCGUAUGUUAUAAGUGUCAUACGAGACCGCCCCCGUUUCAGAGCAUAAAUAUUUUUAAAAAUAUUUAUUUGUGAAUUGAAACGGGGGAGGAAGGUGAGGAUGACGCCAGGUCCGCAUGUCCCUUGAUGUCCUGGGCUGCACACAUGAUACAAUGCCUACUACAGAGAGACGCAAUACCGCGAGGUGGAGCAAACCUUCAAAAGUAGGCCCAAUUCGGAUUGUAGGCUGCAACUCGCCUGCAUGAAGCCGGAAUCGCUAGUAAUCACAGGUCAGCCAUACUGUGGUGAAUACGUUCUCAAGUCUUGUACACACCGCCCGU